UGAUAGCCUGCCUGUGUUUGCAUGCCAUAUUUUUUCCAGCGACACUUUGCAGAGUGUGUGUCUGUAUGUUUUCUAAAUAGCCCCAAACAAACACCACACCCCUCAGACAUGCACUUCUCUUACUUGUUUUGAAAUAAGGACUGACAGCUGGAAGGCAGGAAAAGGGACAAAGACUUAUGAGACUAAUUUCUGCAGAGCCCAUUUGUACCAGGACCUCCAAGAGAGUAAAUCUUUCCAGAACUUGGGCUGGCUGGAUUUCCUUCCUCUGUGUCAAGCUGCUUGCCACAUCCUUGUACCCUUAGGUGACUCCAUUCCUCAGUGUUACAGUUAUUUUGAAGAUAUGGAAUAAAUAAUGCUAACUACCUCACAGAAAAAAAUAUUUACAGUUUGUCUUAGGAUUUUACUAAAUUUCUGUGUCAAAUUUCCUCUACCUCUUCCUUCGCCUUUGAAGAAAAAUUGAUUGUAGUGCAACCCUGAUGCAGAGGAAGUGGUGUUCUAAGGACAUUAAUCACUUUGGAUAAAGUUGCCAAAGAAAGCAGUUCCGGCAACUCUCCAGCAUCUAAAGGAGGAGAGACGAAUUUGGAAAAGUGCCAUUGUAUCAGUGUGGUAAUACCACGCUUUGGAGACUAAAAAGUUUGUUUGUCCAGUGUCCAUCUGUUUGCGUUCCCGGGUGUGAAGAUGACGGCCUAAGCCUCUGUCUGGUCAGUCUGUCUCCGUGAGCUGACCCUGGCGUGGGGGUGCCUGCAGCUGCUGGAAUGGACACCAAGGUGAAAAUCCCCAGGACAGCUGUAAUGUGGCUGCUCGUCAGCCAUAACCUCCAACCGCGCCCUCGUUUCCCUUUGGCAGAGGGAGGAGGCUGGCGCAAGAGCUAUUUCAUCAGCCCCUGACUGCGAUCAGAUCGUACAUAUAGCGGGCUGGUAUUCCUUCAGCGGCUGUAUGGAACGAUUACACUGGAUUAUCCAGUGCCUGCUCUUUCACUCACUUCCAGAGGUUUUACUCCAUAGUUGUCAGGCAGGCAGGAAAUUUUGGUAUAAAACACCGCGUAAACCCAACUGAGCCAAGCCAACUGUACCCAUAGCAUAAGCUGCCAUGGAAAAAAAAAAAGCCAUGUUGUUCACUGUUUGGUUUUGUCAUGCUCUCCACUGAGUGAUAUAUCUUAGUGACAAGUUGCUGUAGCCACACAGCAUUUCUUUUAAUAUCAUAAAGUGUCGUGGGGUGCAGACAUGUCCUAGGACAAUGGCUAGAGUUAGUGUUAAAGGCUAAAUGUAUUGCAGCUGCAUACAAGCUGGGCUAGAUUAAAGACUAGAGCUUUGGAAGUUU